rnacentral:lncRNA from 1 species
CACGAGUAUAACGCGAGGAUCAGCCAUCGCCCCCUUCGCACAUUUUUGACGGAAGGGGACAACCCGACCCCCAACGCUACCGCUGGCCAUACCGUCUAAGGGAGCAUGACGUGCUUGCUGCUAUUCAACAAAAGUAGAACAUGUAAGAAGUGCUGCAGUCACUAGCAAGCCAUAAAGAAACAAUGCUAAGCAAAGUUUAACAAAAGUUCCCAAAGUAAAUAAAAAUAAACCCAAUUAUAAUUCAGAAUUAAUGUCUGAAGUAAUGUCAAUCAAUGUAAACAAUAAUAAUAAGUAAAUCAUUUAAUUAUUGUGAUACAAGAAUGAGCUGAACAUUUUCCUGUAAUGACUAUAUGAGCCCUGGCUGGCAACUAUUGUAAUUUAUUAUAAUUCUAAUUGUCAUCUGAAAACGACGUCGUGGUGUACAGAUUUAUUUAUUUUUUUAAAAACCAUCAUCUGUUUGUGUAUAUCGAAAGACUACUCUAAGGUAAAUAUUGUUUCAGUGAAAAGUGACCUCUUAAAUUUUAUUAGAAUUUGUAAAAUCAGUGGAUUAAUUAAGAACUGCAAUAUUUUAGCAGCGGCCUAAGAUGAGAGCUGUGAUGAUAUUACUGGCGCUGAGCAUCGCAGCGUGCGACAUGUGCGUCGGCGGCGCGUCGGACGACAUCCCCGUGACAUUAGCCGGCGCCGCGCCCGCAGACAUACUGCUGUACCUCUACGACGUCGUGCUCACGCCGCACAUGCUCACUGAUCGUAACAGAGAAGGAGGGCCGGUUAUUGGAUCGCCUCUAUGUCCUAGUGGUAAAUAUCGCACAAAGGAAGGUCAUUGUCCACAUAUCAUCGAUGACGAUUACUAAUGUAAUGACAAAAAGUAAUAAUUAAUUGUUCUCACUUCACCGAAAGCACUUCACCGAAGCACCACCAGAUCAUAAUGGAGACACUGAAUUAGUGAAUUAUUUUUAUUAACAAUAAGAGUUUUGAUUAUGUUUAUCUUUACUAAUAUUAUAAAGCUGAAGAGUUUGUUUGUUUGUUUGAACGCGCUAAUCUCAGGAACUACUGGUCCGAUUAGAAAAAUUAUUUCAGUGUUAGACAGCCCAUUUACUGAGGAAGGCUAUAGACUACAAUUUUAUCCGGGUUCGUGCCAAGGUUCCCACGGGAUACGGGUGAAACCGCUGGCAGAAGCUAGUUAACAAUAAAGGUGUUCCAUUGUGUUCUCCAUUUCUAUGUAAUAUAGGAUGUAACUUGAAUUAUUUAGUAGUUAUAUAAAUUAAAAAAAAAUCCACAUUCAUAAUGGUGAUGAUAUUUUAUUAGUACAGUCGACAUCAGGUCAGUGGUAACAGUUUUAUAGGAAAAUCGUACUUUUCAUUCCUUUUCAUUCCUAUUAGGAAAAUCGUAUUACUAUUGAGCUAAGGUGCAUGACAGUUACCACUGAUGUGCAGUCUACCGUACCUACAAUAUUAACGUAUGAAUCUUUUCUGCCAUCGAGGGCAUGACCGCCAACACUACUGGCUGGUUAGAAAGAACUGUACCUUAUAACCUCUCUUUCGUAAACCUGGAAUAGGAAGAAGGUCCGCCCUUAUAUGAUCCCGCAUUAUAAUUUUUAGUACGUAAGAAGAUAAUAGAAACUUAUUUAAUUUAGUUUUCGUUUCACCUAUUCUUAGAAGGUAAUAUCCAGCCAAUUUUCUAAUUCAUCAUGUAAUUGGCAAAUAACACGUAUUAAAAUAAAAUGGUAAUCAAAGAGUUACAUGCAAUUAAAAGCAUUAGUUAAAUCAAUAUUAAACAUCCAUAAACCAUAACAAUAAGGAAAAUAAAUAUAAAUAGAAUAUUAUCCCUAUUUAAUCAUAUUCUGGUUUUACUCACAAUUAGUCAUCUUGAUAACUAACUGUUUUCCCGAAAUUUUACCGGCGUAAUGCAGUAACUGCAACCCGUAUCGAGAUUAAAUAAUGCCAAUAUUACUUGGGCAUACAAACAAACAAACAAAAUAUCUUUAUUGUAUCUAAUUUAUUGUGUACAUCUGAUAAUAAGUAGCCAAAUAAAUUAAUAUCUAUAAACCUACUACAUCAAGUCGAAGUAUUUAUUAACUUCAUGAUAUCCUGUAAGGAUAGAACAAGAAUGAGCGUGAAAUACCCAGCAUACAUGUAGAAACAGUCUUCUUAAAACAGGUAUUUUUCUGUUUAUUCAAAAUUCUGAAAUAAAUAAAUUCCAGAGUUUUCUGUUAUCAGAAUAUUACUGUCUAAAAAUCAUGCGCAGUCCUAGAAAUUGCUCUUUAAGUUCCAGUGUUGUGGUGACUUCCAAAAUGAAAUUAAAUACUUCAUAUUGAAUUCAGCCAAAAAUGGCUCGUUCAACUAGUACUUUUGUCUACAACGGGGAAACCAAACAUAAAUUAAAUACACAUUGUUUUUAAUUUUCCCUACUGGACAUUCCAUUUAUUAAGGAAAUUAAAUUCAAAUCACCAUCCUCUCGACCAACCUCACUUAUCGAUGUCAGUCUGACGACAAGUGGCGACAUCUAUCGUAGCAAUAUGCAACAUUAUAGUGUCUCAUACAAUUUAAUAUAAGGACCAAGUCGUUCAUGAGCAGUUUUCUACGCGUAUUGUUUUUUUUUUUCAAUACCUACUACGAAUGAAUGUUUUAUAAACAAAACGUCAAGUUUGCCUUAUUUGGCUUACGUAGGUAAAAUAAGCCGCGGAAAACGGACUAUAGUAUAUGAGUGAAUACCUACGUAACGGGAAACUAUGGAACUCUUUGUAAUAAAUGAGUACAUACUACUUACAGCAUAGAGACAAUAAACCCACUCUCUAUUAUUUGUUUAACAAAAGCUUCGUGAGAUGGAGACUGAACUUAAAAAGCCCUUAAUAUAAAGAUUAUCCGAAAAUAUUUCACAUCAAUAUAUUUUAUCAAUUGAGCUCGGUACUGCUUACACCGAUAGCAUCAACUAAAGCCACUCGUCAGAUAUGAAUACCACUCGCGGCUAAUUGCUUUGUUCCGACGGCAGCGUCGACGCAGUAGCCGCAGUCGUUGACAGCACGCACAAAUGGUCACGAUUCCAUCCCAACUGUCAUAACUUGCUUCAUUUAUUAUCGGUAAGGUAAAAGUUUCGAAACUCCCGUCGAGACACUGUUGGUGCCACCGCCUUGUCGUCUGUUAGUCAUUAAAUCAAUUUGGAGUGAUAAAUCACGGCCAACUUCCAGCUCUUUUGACAAACUUUUCGGCCAUGAAAAUGUUCUGUUUAUUUUGUGUUUUGAAUUCGAACCCAUCCUGUGAUUAAGAAAGCCCUGAAGUUUUUGUUAACUUUAGAUAUAACUUUGAUAUCAAUAACGUUUCACCUUUCGAGUUUAAAAAGCAGUCGAUGACUUUUGAAGUCUUCAAUUUAUGAAAUGAAACAUAAAAUCAAUUUUAGAUAAAUUAGAGAGCUAAGUAGUCAGGACUAGCUAGUAAGAUCAAACCAAAGCUUGACAUCAAAUGGACUCUUAUAAUUUGAGAUUGAAUCAACAGAUAGACAAGUCAUUUGUGAUGUCAACCGUGUAACCCGCUUAUCAUUUUACUGGUUUGAAAAGCAGUUGUAUCUAACAUCACUGGUAACACGAGCUUUCUUUUAAUGCAAAGAUAACUGAGAUAAGAACUGUCUCUUAUUAGUGUCAAUAUUGUACAUUAUUUAUUAUGAACGCACGAAUGAAUGUAGUACAUAUUAGAAAAUCGUCAACAACCAUGGACCAAUUCAGACUCAUCUGCAACUGAAUUAAUCGUAUUGGAAAAUAAUCGGAAACAAAGUAACUUACCUAAGAAAUGUGUAUAAAUACCUACUUGAAGCGUGGAUAAAUCAUAUAUAAUAUUAUAGUCAGUAAGCUAGUUAUCACAUGAUCUUAUCGACUACCAUAUUGUAAGGGAAGAUUCCAAGACUACAAAGCCAUUAUAACGAUUUAUUAUUAUUGAUUUAAGAUGAGCGAUUCGACCACCCAGCCCAUCUAUAAAAAUCAUGCUAAAACCUGAUAUAUAUUUUUAUUUAAUUAGAAUUAUAACUGCAUCAUA